AUGGGGAUGGCCGGGAGCCAAGGGCCCCCCGUGAAAGGGCAGGGUAUUCCGGGGGUCCUGUGGGGCGGAGGAACCGGAGCUGGGGCCCCGGGCCCAGAGCUCCAGCUGCCCUGCCAAUCUGGCAAGGCUGGCUUCAUUUGCAGUCUUGAGUCACAGCUUCUCCUCCCUCCAGCUGGGGGGAGGGGGCCGGGCUUGCCCAGUGGGACUGGGGGGCGGGUCCCCCCUCGGGAUCAGGCUCCCUCGCCUCUCACCCCCCCCCCAGGCGGCCAGGCUCGUCUUUCGAGGGCCCGCGAGGCGAGCGGCAAGCCCCAGCAUGCCAGGAACCAGGAGAGGUGGCGGCGCGGAAGGGGGGCGGGGGAAGUUUUGGGGGGCUUUGGGGACCUGAGGGGGGGAAGGGCAAGGGCCCAGGGAGGGGCAAAACAAAGGGCCGCUUCAGGAAACCCAACCUGGCUCAGCGACGCCGCCCCGGGAGGCCCCGGCUCUGCCGUGCUGCCUCCAUGCCUCAAAGCCCCCGAGGAAUGGAGCCGGCCCGGCCAGCGGGCUCCAGAGGUGUGUGGUGGGGGGCGGGGGCGGGGAGGCAAGAGGAGAAGCCCGAGGGGCGCCCCCACCUGGGGUUGGAGCCCGGCCCGGCUCCUCCGCCCCGCGCGCCUCGGCCAGGGGCAAGGGGCGGGGCGCGCUGGGGGCGGGGGAGCUGCGCCCUCUCCCCCGGCCCCGCGCCGGGAGGGGUGGCCGGGGGUUCCCGGGGGCGGGAGUUGGAGCGGGCUGCAAACUUCUGGGGCCAGAGCUGGGAGGAAAGAGAGGGGGAGAAAAGGGGGGUGGCCCGGCUCUCUCCGAGCUCCAGCUCCCGCCGCACUUCGCCCAGCCCAGCCUAGCCUUGCCCUGCCCAGAGCCGCGCCUGGUCGGCCUGGGGAGUCGGAGCCGAACCGAGCCGGCCGCGCCGCGCCACCCUUUCCUCACUCACCGAGUCCCCAGGCUCCGGGAGGGGCGGCGAACCGCCAAGGAGGCUCCGGGCCGGCGUCCUGCUCCUGCUCUGGCCGGUGCCGCUGCCUCUAG
rnacentral:lncRNA from 1 species